AGCCUUGUAGUGUAACGGCAACACAGUCGCUUGUAUUAAUUCAAAAUGGUGAACAGCGAGAGACCCCCGUUCGACUCGGGGCGUGGCCA